rnacentral:rRNA from 1 species
GCCCUACGGGGUGCAGCAGGCGCGAAAACUUUACAAUGCUGGCAACAGCGAUAAGGGAACCUCGAGUGCCAGGUUACAAAACUGGCUGUCGAGAUGCCUAAAAAGCAUUUCAUAGCAAGGGCCGGGCAAGACCGGUGCCAGCCGCCGCGGUAAUACCGGCAGCUCAAGUGGUAGCCGCGAUUAUUGGGCCUAAAACGUUCGUAGCCGGAUAAGUAAGUCUUUGGUUAAAUCCUGCGACUCAACCGUGGGAAUUCUAGAGAUACUGCUUGUCUUGAGACCGGGAGAGGUUGGAGGUACUCCUAGGGUAGGGGUGAAAUCCUGUAAUCCUAGGGGGACCACCUGUGGCGAAGGCGUCCAACUGGAACGGGUCUGACGGUGAGGGACGAAACCUAGGGGAGCGAGCCGGAUUAGAUACCCGGGUAGUCCUAGGCGUAAAUGAUGCGAGUUAAGUGUGGGGGCAUCUACGAGAUGGCCCUGUGCUGUAGGGUAGCCGUUAAACUCGCUGCCUGGGGAGUACGGUCGCAAGGCUGAAACUUAAAGGAAUUGGCGGGGGAGCACCACAAGAGGUGGAGGCUGCGGUUCAAUUGGACUCAACGCCGGAAAACUCAUC